UGGCCAAUACAAACGUUUGUCAUGUGCGGGGAUCGUACCCGCAACCGCCAGCGCAACAGCCACAAACCAGCGGUGUGACAGUUGCGCCAACGAAUCUUCAAUAUUGAGUUUGUA